GAUCCGCGGAGAAGUCAGGGUGACCCCGGCUCUGGCUGACUGUCGCUUCUCCGGAUCUGGAAGGAGUCGGUGGAUGUUGCGUGUAUGAAG
ensembl:lncRNA